GCAAGUCGAACGCGAAAGGGACUUCGGUCCUGAGUAAAGUGGCGCACGGGUGAGUAACGCGUGGCUAAUCUGCCCUUAUGAUCGGGAUAACAGUUGGAUACGGCUGCUAAUACCGGAUACGCUCAACAUGAACUUUUUGAGGAAAGAUGGCCUCUGCUUGCAUGCUAUCGCGUAAGGAUGAGUCCGCGUCCGAUUAGCUUGUUGGCGAGGUAACGGCCCACCAAGGCAUCGAUGGGUAGCCGAUUUGAGAGGAUGAUC
rnacentral:rRNA from 1 species